rnacentral:rRNA from 1 species
AUCAACUUUCGAUGGUAGGAUAGAGGCCUACCAUGGUGGUAACGGGUAACGGGGUGUUAGGGCACGACACCGGAGAGGGAGCCUGAGAAACGGCUACCACAUCCAAGGAUGGCAGCAGGCGCGCAAAUUACCCAAUCCCGACACGGGGAGGUAGUGACAAUAAAUAACAAUACGGGGUUCUUUAGGAUCUCGUAAUUGGAAUGAGUACAAUUUAAAUCUCUUAACGAGGAACAAUUGGAGGGCAAGUCUGGUGCCAGCAGCCGCGGUAAUUCCAGCUCCAAUAGCGUAUAUUAAAGUUGUUGCAGUUAAAAAGCUCGUAGUUGAAUUUCGGGGUCAGUAGGUUGGUCGUGCCACCGGUACGUACUGGUCUCACUGAUUCCUCCUUCCUGAUGAGCUGUAAUGCCAUUAAUUUGGUGUUGCAGGGAAUCUGGACUGUUACUUUGAAAAAAUUAGAGUGUUUAAAGCAGGCUCACGCUUGAAUACAUUAGCAUGGAAUAAUGAAAUAGGACAUCCGAUUCUAUUUUGUUGGUUUCUAGGAUCGAUGUAAUGAUUAAUAGGGAUAGUUGGGGGCAUUAGUAUUCAAUUGUCAGAGGUGAAAUUCUUGGAUUUAUUGAAGACUAACUACUGCGAAAGCAUUUGCCAAGGAUGUUUUCAUUAAUCAAGAACGAAAGUUAGGGGAUCGAAGACGAUCAGAUACCGUCGUAGUCUUAACCAUAAACUAUGCCGACUAGGGAUCGGAUGAUGUUAAUUUUUUAAUGACUCAUUCGGCGCCUUACGGGAAACCAAAGUGUUUGGGUUC